UACAGAGGGUGCGAGCGUUGUCCGGAAUCACUGGGCGUAAAGGGCGCGUAGGUGGCGCUGCAAGUCGGUGGUGAAAGCUCGAUGCUUAACAUCGAGUCGGCCAUCGAAACUGCAGGGCUCGAGCACUGUAGGGGCAGAUGGAAUUCCGGGUGUAGCGGUGGAAUGCGUAGAGAUCCGGAAGAACACCGGUGGCGAAGGCGGGUCUCUGGGCAAUUCCUGACGCUGAGGCGCGAAAGCGUGGGGAGCAAACGGG
rnacentral:rRNA from 1 species